UACGGGGGGGGCAAGCGUCGUUCGGAAUUACUGGGCGUAAAGGGCUCGUAGGCGGCCAACUAAGUCAGACGUGAAAUCCCUCGGCUUAACCGGGGAACUGCGUCUGAUACUGGAUGGCUUGAGUUUGGGAGAGGGAUGCGGAAUUCCAGGUGUAGCGGUGAAAUGCGUAGAUAUCUGGAGGAACACCGGUGGCGAAGGCGGCAUCCUGGACCAACACUGACGCUGAGUGAGCGAAAGCCAGGGGAGCAAACGGG
rnacentral:rRNA from 1 species